CUGCAGUCAAUUAAGUUGGAUUAGUGUGGCCCUUCCCUUAGCUUGUUGCUUUUGCUAAGCAGAUUCAGUACUGGCAAGUUAAGAUGGGAAACUGCAUUUUUGAGAUCAAAAUCCCUGAAUGCAAUGAAUCACAAAUAGAAGAGUUUGUACAAGACAACUUGGUUGGGCCCGUAGUGAACUAACAGUUAGUUUAAAAUGAUCAAAUUGAUGGGCCUGAAUGUGAGGAAUCACCGUAUCCAGAUGAAGAAGAGGACUUAGCCAAGAUUUAUAAUAGCGUUAGAAAAAUGAUAUGCACACAGAUACUGAAUGACACCUUCAAUUUUGAUCAGAUGCUAAAUGACAAGGUAUGUUGCUACAAUUUCA